UACGGAGGGUGCGAGCGUUGUCCGGAAUCAUUGGGCGUAAAGGGCGCGUAGGUGGCCCGGUCAGUUCGUGGUGAAAGCGCGGGGCUCAACCCUGCGUCGGCCAUGAAUACUGCCGCGGCUGGAGCACUGUAGAGGCAGGCGGAAUUCCGGGUGUAGCGGUGGAAUGCGUAGAGAUCCGGAAGAACACCGGUGGCGAAGGCGGUCUGCUGGGGUAAUGCUGACACUGAGGCGCGACAGCGGUGGGGAGCAAACAGGG
rnacentral:rRNA from 1 species